rnacentral:rRNA from 1 species
CAAUAGCGUAUAUUAAAGUUGUUGCAGUUAAAAAGCUCGUAGUUGGAUUUCUGGUGAGAUGGAUUAUGUCUAGGUCGAAGGAUCUUGUUCAUGGUUCGUUUUGCCCUUCUUGUCAGGAACCCGCUGAGAUUCGCGUCUUGUCGGUGGAAUGGCAUCGUUUACUGUGAAAAAAUUAGAGUGUUCAAAGCAGGCAUCGCCGUUGAAUACAUUAGCAUGGAAUAAUAAGAUAAGACUUUGGUGGUCUAUUUUGUUGGUUUGCACGCCAAGGUAAUGAUUAAUAGGGAUAGUUGGGGGUAUUCGUAUUCUAUUGCUAGAGGUGAAAUUCUUAAAUUUAUGGAAGACGAACUACUGCGAAAGCAUUUACCAAGGAUGUUUUCAUUAA